UCUACGGGUGGCAGCAGUGAGGAAUAUUGGUCAAUGGACGAGAGUCUGAACCAGCCAAGUAGCGUGAAGGAUGACUGCCCUAUGGUUUGUAAACUUCUUUUAUAUGGGAAUAAAACGUUCCACGUGUGGGAUUUUGUAUGUACCAUAUGACUAAGGAUCGGCUAACUCCGUGCCAGCAGCCGCGGUAAUACGGAGGAUCCGAGCGUUAUCCGGAUUUAUUGGGUUAAAGGGCGCGUAGGUGGAUUGUUAAGUCAGUUGUGAAAGUUUGCGGCUGAACCGUAAAAUUGCAGUUGAAAAUGGCAGUCUUGAGGACAGUAGAGGUGGGCGGAAUGCGUGGUGUAGCGGUGAAAUGCUUAGAUAUCACGAAGAACUCCGAUUGCGAAGGCAGUUCACUGGACUGCAACUGACACUGAGGCUCGAAAGUGUGGGUAUCAAACAGGAUUAGAUACCCCUGUAGUC
rnacentral:rRNA from 1 species